rfam:Triticum aestivum genome assembly, contig: Triticum_aestivum_CS42_TGACv1_scaffold_576840_7BL
GGGUGAUAAGAUUAUGAAUAGUAUUCUUUUCCCUAUUGGUUUGAUUGGCUGGUAUGGUGGCCCUAAUACUGAAAUGAAUCUGAUCAUCC